rnacentral:rRNA from 1 species
GCAGUCGAGGGGUAACAUUGGUGCUUGCACCAGAUGACGACCGGCGCACGGGUGAGUAACGCGUAUGCAACCUACCUCAAACAGGGAGAUAGCCCAUGGAAACGUGGAUUAAUAUCCCAUAGCACUUUAUUAUCGCAUGGUAAUAAUUUUAAAGUUCCGGCGGUUUGAGAUGGGCAUGCGUGCCAUUAGAUAGUUGGUGAGGUGACGGCUCACCAAGUCUACGAUGGCUACGGGGUCUUAAAGGAUGGUCCCGCACACUGGUACUGAGACACGGACCAGACUCCUACGGGAGGCAGCAGUGAGGAAUAUUGGUCAAUGGGGGCAACCCUGAACCAGCCAUGCCGCGUGAAGGAAGACAGCCCUAUGGGUCGUAAACUUCUUUUAUAUGGGAAUAAUGGUUUGUACGCGUACAAAUUUGAAGGUACCAUAUGAAUAAGCAUCGGCUAACUCCGUGCCAGCAGCCGCGGUAAUACGGAGGAUGCAGGCGUUAUCCGGAUUUAUUAGGUUUAAAGGGUGCGUAGGCGGAUAUUUAAGUCAGUGGUGAAAGUCUGCAGCUUAACUGUAGAAUUGCCAUUGAAACUGGAUAACUUGAAUUUAGUAGAGGUAGGCGGAAUGAGUAGUGUAGCGGUGAAAUGCAUAGAUAUUACUCAGAACACCGAUUGCGAAGGCAGCUUACUAUGCUAACAUUGACGCUGAUGCACGAAAGCGUGGGUAGCGAACAGGAUUAGAUACCCUGGUAGUCCACGCCGUAAACGAUGAUUACUGGUUGUGCGCGAUACACAGUGCGUGACUGAGCGAAAGCAUUAAGUAAUCCACCUGGGGAGUACGUUGGCAACAAUGAAACU